rnacentral:tRNA from 1 species
GCCUGUUGGUUCAGUUGGUAGAGCAUGUGACUCUUGAUCUCAGGGUCAUGAGUUCAAGCCCCACACAGGGCA